AGAGAUCGAGGUGAAGUCUUCUGGAAUACGACACUGCUUAGCAUAGAACAAACCAACUUUCUAUUAUAGCAAGAAUAUGAAUACAAGGUCUCCAAUAUUACAAUGAAUAACACCGGCACGGCGACACUACGCCAACCACAGUUGCUCUAUGCAAGCAGCAUAACAACUCGAGGUAGCGGAACCUCUACUGGCAGCAGAGGAACUACUGGUAGUGGAACAACGAACGACGAUGAAAGACUCUAAUCCGCAGGGACUCUGGCUGGAACAUUUAUCCUAGCUUGCGAACACAGUAACCACACCAAACAAGCCAUCAAUCCAGGCACGUCCUGCAAACUGGCAUGACACGCCAGGUCAGUACAUUGAAUGUACUUGCAAGCUCACAAUAACCAAAAGCAAUCAAGGCAAACAUCAGCAUGGCAUUAGCAGCUUAAAUCAAUCAUGAGCACGAUUCAUGGCAUACACAAACUGAACAUGAUACAACUUUAGCAUGGCAUAAGCAUAUGAACAUGAUGAUACUACAUGCAACAGUUUAACAUAUUAUGCACCAACUUACUCUUGCUCGGGUUACCUCAUAACCAACACAAGCCUCAACUUACCAACAUCGGUAUCCUCGAUACCACGGUGAUCAUCUCGGGAUCACAUAAAUAUCAACCAAAUUCUUUCAUCAUCGAACUGGGGUUGUUAUUAAGCAGGUUAUCAUUAUUUUUGUUGGCCAUAGUGUGACCUACUCUGAACUGGGCCCAUAUCUGCGGGUGUGCCUAUCGAUAGAUUUAAACAUGCACACUCUGCAGAGGUUAGCACACUGUACCCACACCACGAAACCCAAGGCCUCGCACUCCUAUUCGGGUGGACCAAUGGCAUUCCGACAAAACCGAUCUACUGCCAUGACACUCUCCCGGUCACUCCGACCAACUCCCCUUCGGGCUAAGUCAUGGGUGACCCCGUGCCUACCAAAGGCAUCAACGGCCACCGUCGUGGGAAAAUAAAAGGUCCCAAACGGGGACAUGGAUCCAUACAACAACAACAGGCACACAAGGCUUACGCCAUCCUACCUGACCAAGGUAGUGCCCGUGCAUAACCUUCCCUUGUUGGAGCCACCGGCGAGAGGCAUGACAAUAGACCCAGUUAGGUCCUCCCAUAAAGGCAAAUGUGGUUGCACUGGUCAGCUUGGUUCAGUGGCACCAUGACUCAGCCAACUGUUGUUCAAGUUCAAUUAAGUUCGGUUAAACUUGAAUGCAAUAAGACAAGUCAUAUUAAAAUAACAAAAUUCAACUACGAUGCAUGAGCAUGAUAUCAACAUAAGCAUGGAGGUGCAACAUAAUCAUCGAUCAUAACCAAAAUAAAUCAUAUAUCUGAAUGAGCAUGGCAUACUGAUGAGUAUGAAUAACACAAGCAAAACUCUACCAUAAGCAUAUCCUGACUACCGGCAUCAUGAACAACUACCAUGCAAGAACGUAGCAAGAACACUACCAAGUAAGCAUGUGACCAACUAGAUGCAACGGAACCAACAUAGCAAUGGUACUGAAUAGCAGACUAAGCAUGCAUCCGAAGAACACCACAACUACCAGCAUGUAUUACUACUACCAACAAGGAUGACAUGUGAAAAUGAUACUAGCAAGUAGCACAAGAUAUCACGAUGCAUCAUAGCAUGAAGGUGGACAAGAAUCCACGAGCAUAACCAAAACAACAACAGUAGAAGCAAACAAGCAAGCAGAUAAUGACAAACUUUUAUUAAAUAUUCAAGUUGAAAACCAAGGCUGCUGCAGCACUAUCAUGCAAGUGGCUAUUGCAGCUUGCGUGGGGGUGAAGGAGACUCCGGGAAGAAGUGCGGUGAAGCUCGCGGAAAGAAACGUCGAACGGUUCUCUCUUGGAGGGGGCUGAUAGGGGCAAGGGCAAAAUGGUAAUUUUCACUACAGGACCACCUAGUGAAAAUGGAGCCAACAGAAAGAGCUCGAUGAUUCGAAGAUGUGAGCAUUGGUUUCACCUUGAUCAGAGAUACGAGCAAAAAGUUGUGAGGUGUUGAAGUUCACGUACUAUUCUGCAAAAAUAUCACCACAAAUAGGUCCCUGAGUGGAUAAGUCAGAAACGCAUAAGGUGAAAUACGCUUUCCAAGCUAGAAAACGUAUUCUGGGCUGAUGAAGGAAAGAAGUACGCUUUUAGGUGCACAAAUGGAAAUACGCCUUCGGGCAAAUGAAAACGCACUCACCCGGGGCGCUUCCAGUUGCCACGUGGGCAGAGAUGGCUAGGCCACUGGCGCGUGGGGACCACAGGCAGGGGGGCCGAUCAAUCAUCAUCUUCCUCCUCCCGUGCUCGCUCGCGACAGGGAACAGGGGAGGGAGACAGAGGCGCUGCCGGCUGAUAACCCACAAGUGUAGGGGAUAAUUGUAGCCUCUUUCGAUAAGUAAGAGUGUCGAACCCAACGAGGAGCUAAAGGUAGAACAAUAUUCUCUCAAGUCCUAUCUGCCACUGAUACGACUCUACGCACGCUUAGUCUUCGCUUUACCUAGAACAAGUAUGAAACUAGAAGUACUUUGUAGGUGUUGUUGGAUAGAUUUGCAAGAUAAUAAAGAGCACGUUAAUAUAAACUAGGGGUUGUUUAGAUAGAGAAGGAACAAAGUAAAUAAAGCGAGUGUGGAAAAGUGGUGGUAGGAGUUGUGAAAUUGUCCCUAAGCAAUUGACUACGUUACUAGACCGGUAAUCACUAUUGAAAUUUUAUUUGAGGGAGAGGCAUAAGUAACAUACUUUCUAUUCUUGGAUCAUAUGCACUUAUUAUUAUAACUCUAGCAAGCAUCCGCAACUACUAAAGAUCAUUAAGGUAAAACCCAACCGUAGCAUUAAAGUAUCAAGUCCCCUUUAUCCCAUACGCAAACAACCUAGUAACUCGGGUCUGUGCUUCUGUCACUCACGCCACCCACCAUAAGCAAAUCAUGAAAAUAUUGCCAACCCUACUCCGGGGAUCCCUCACGCUUGCGCGACACAGAGAGCACCAUAGGACAACACCAAUAAUAAAACAUGGAACUCAAACCAAUCAUAGCAAUUCAUCAAUCACUGAUAGGACAACGAAAAUCUACACAGACAUCAUAGGAUGGCAACACAUCAUUGGAUAAUAAUAUGAAGCAUAAAGCACCAUGUUCAAGUAGAGGGUACAGCGGGUUGCGGGAGAGUGGACCACUAUAGAUAGAAGGGGGAAGGUGAUGGAGAUGUUGGUGAAGAUGAUGGAGGUGUUGGUGAAGAUCGUGAUGAUGAUGAUGGCCCCCAGCAGCGCUCCGGCGCCACCGGAAGCAAGGGAGAGAGAGCCCCCCUUCUUCUUCUUCUUCCUUGACCUUCUCCCUAGAUGGGAGAAGGGUUUACCCUCUUGUCCUUGGCUCCCAUGGUGUGGGAGGGGCGAGAGCCCCUCCGAGAUUGGAUCUAUCUCUUUCUCUCUCUGUUUCUGCAUUCUCUGAUUCUGCCCUUUCACCGUUUCUUUUAUAUCCGGAGAUCCGUAACUCUGAUUGGGUUGAGUCUUUCGCCCAGAUUUUUCUCAUAAAAUUAGCUUUCUUGAAGCAAAAGAAGAGCAUCAACCGCCUUACGGGGUGUCCACGAGGGUCUAUGGCAUGCCUGCCUCCCUGGAGCGCGCCCCCUGCCCCGUGGCCCCCUCGGGCACCGUCUCGCGUUGAUUUUACUUCCCAAAAAUCAUAAAUAUUCUGAAAUAAUUCUCCGUCCAUUUUUAUCCCGUUUGGACUCCGUUUGAUAUUGGGUUUCUGCGAAACAGAAAACAUGCAACAAAUAGGAACUAGCACUGGGCACUGGAUCAAUAUGUUAGUCACAAAAAUAGUAUAAAAAGUUGCCAAAAGUAUAUGAAAGUUGAAUAAUAUUGGCAUGGAACAAUCAAAAAUUGUAGAUACGACGGAGACGUAUCAGCAUCCCCAAGCUUAAUUCCUGCUCGUCCUCGAGUAGGUAAAUGAUAAAAAAAGAUAAUUUUUUAUGUGGAAUGCUACCUAGCAUAAUCUUGAUCAUGUAAUCUAAUCAUGGGAUGAAUAUUAAGACACGAGUGAUUCAAAGCAAUAGUCUAUCAUUUGACAUAAGAACAAUAAUACUUUGAGCGUACUAAUAAAGCAAUCAUGUCUUUUCAAAACAACAUGGCCAAAGCAAGCUUAUCCCUACAAAAUCAUAUAGUUUGGCCAUGCUUCAUUUUUGUCACACAAAAUGAUCCCAUCAUGCACAACCCCGAUGACAAGCUGAGCAAUUGGUUCAUACUUUUUAACGCGCUUCAGCUUUUUCAACCCUCACGCAAUACAUGAGCGCAAGCCAUGGAUAUAGCACUAUAGGUGGAAUAGAAUAUGAUGGUGGAGGUUAUGUGGAGAAGACAAAAAGGGAGAAAGUCUCACAUCGACGCGGCUAAUCAACGGGCUAUGGAGAUGCCCAUCAAUUGAUGUCAAUGUGAGGAGUAGGAAUUGCCAUGCAACGGAUGCACUAAGAGCUAUAAGUGUAUGAAAGCUCAAACUGAAACUAAGUGGGUGUGCAUCCAACUUGCUUGCUCAUGAAGACCUAUGGCAUUUGAGGAAGCCCAUCGUUGGAAUAUACAAGCCAAGUUCUAUAAUGAAAAUUCUCACUAGUAUAUGAAAGUGAUAACAUAGGAGACUCUCUACAUGAAGAACAUGGUGCUACUCUGAAGCACAAGUGUGGUAAAAGGAUAGUAACAUUGCCCCUUUUUCUUCCUUUUUUGGAUGGGCUUCUUUGGCCCCCCCUUUUUUUAUUUAGGCUUCUUUGGCCUCUCUUUUUUAUGGGGCAAUGUUUUAUAAUAAUGAUCAUCACACUUUAUUUACUUACAACUCAAUACUACAAUUCGAUACUAGAACAAAGAUAUGACUCUAAAGGAAUGCCUUCGAUGGUGUACCGGGAUGUCCAAUGAUCUAGCGUAGCAAUGACAUCAAAAAACGGACAAGCCAUGAAAACAUCAUGCUAGCUAUCUUACGAUCAUGCAAGGCAAUAUGACAAUGAAUGCUCAAGUCAUGUAUAUGAUGAUGAUGGAAGUUGCAUGGCAAUAUAUCUCGGAAUGGCUAUGGAAAUGCCAUGAUAGGUAGGUAUGGUGGCUGUUUUGAGGAAGAUAUAAGGAGGCUUAUGUGUGAUAGAGCGUACCAUAUCACGGGGUUUGGAUGCACCGGCGAAGUCUGCACCAACUCUCAAGGUGAGAAAGGGCAAUGCAUGGUACCGAAGAGGCUAGCAAUGAUGGAAAGGUAAAAGUGCAUAUAAUCCAUGGACUCGCAUUAGUCAUAAAGAACUCAUAUACUUAUUGCAAAAGUUUAUUAGCCCUCGAAGCAAAGUACUACAAUGCAUGCCCCUAGGGGGAUAAUUGGUAGGAAAAGACCAUCGCCCAUCCCCGACCGCCACUCAUAAGGAAGACAAUCAAAGAAACACCCCAUGCUUCAAAUUUGUCAUACAACGGUUACCAUACGUCCAUGCUACGGGACUUGUAAACCUCAGCACAAGUGUCUCUACAAUCCACAACCACCCACUAGCAUGACUCCAAUAUCUCCAUCUUUAUAUCGCAAAACUAUUGCAAGGAAUCAAACAUAUCAUAUUCAACGAUCUACAAGUUUAUGUAGGAUUUUAUGACUAACCAUGUGAAUGACCAAUUCCUGUCAUCUCUCUAAAUAGAUAUAAGUGAAGCAAGAGAGUUUAAUUAUUUAUAUAAAAGAUAUUCCCACGCUCUAACAAAUAUAAGUGAAGCAAAAGAGCAUUCUACAAAUGGUGGUUUUCUAUGUGAAGAGAAACAGGCAAUCCAAACUUCAAAUGAUAUAAGUGAAGCACGUGAAGCAUUCCAUAAAGCCAUACUCAAAAGAUUUAAGUGAGGUGCAAUGAGCAUUCUAUAAAUCAACCAAGGACUAUCUCAUACCAGCAUGGUGCAUAAAAUAAAAGUGAAAACUAAAUGCAAAAGACGCUCCAAGACUUGGACAUAUCGCAUGAACGAAAGGAAUACGAAAACAUACCGAUACUCGUUGAAGAAAGAGGGGAUGCCUUCCGGGGCAUCCCCAAGCUUAGACGCUUCAGUAUCCUUGAAUAUUUACUUGGGGUUCCUAGGGAAUCCCCAAGCUUUAGAUCUUGCCUCUCUUCCUUUUUCUCAUAUCGAUACCUCCUCGAUCAAACACUACAUCCACACAAAACAUCAAUAGAAAACUCAGUAAGAUCCGUUAGUAUAAUAAAGCAAAUCACCACUCUAAGUAAUGUUGCAAACCAAUUCAUAUUUUGUUUUUUCAUUGUGUCUACUGCAAUAUAACUUUUCCAUGGCUUAAUCCACUGAUAUAAAUUGAUAGAUUCAUCAAAACAAGCAAACUAUGCAUCAAAAACAGAAUCUGUCAAAAGCAGAACAGUCUGUAUAAAUCUGAACAUUCACCAUACUUCUGAUACCCCAAAAUUUCUACCAAAAUUUCGAAAAAUAAACAAUUUCUACGGAAAGACAAUGCAAAAGGAAUAAGAACCAUUUGACGUUCCAGUAAAAAACGUAAAAUCAUGCACUACAGCCAAAGUUUCUGUCCUGCACCGUUCAAACCAACAAGCAUUGUAAACAUCCUAAAGGCAAACCUUAGCACAUUAUUUUUAGGGUUAAUUAUCCUUUUGCCCUUAGUGGUGUCCAUCUACUAAGUUUUGCCCUCAGAUGCAAAUUGUGCUCAGUUUUGCCCCUAGUCCGUGCGCACCGACUCAUACAGUGAACUUUGGCGUCUCCGUCAGGUCAACGUUUUGACUCGGCCUUUAUAGGUGGGACCAGGCGGCAGAGGCGGCCAAUUUUAUUCAGAUCGUUGCACGCGUGGCUUGCGGGACCCAGCAGAGAGCCAUUGAGCAUAGAGCCGUUGCAGGUGUGUGCUAUAUUAGCGGGCGACAGCGGCGGUGACCACGGCGACAGAGAGCACGACGCUGACCACGGCGAGAGAGUGGGAGCAUGACGGCCGUGGGAAGCUAGCUGUGGAGGGCACGGCGGUGGGAAGCUAGCUAUGGAGGGUGCGGUGGCAUUGAGAUCCCGUUCGGCUCCGAGCUCCAUAUCUUCCGCAAGCUCCCGCGCCACCUCGCGGAUGCAGAGCCGGGUGCAUGUGGAGAUGCCUGUCUUCGUCUGUCCGCGGUGCCGGGCGAGCGUUGAUCGGAGGGUUUCUCACACACCGAGGAACCACAAUCGUCCAUUCUACGUGUGCAGCGAGAAUGGGGUAAGAAUCGGGGCAAUUGCACCAUUUUCGUGGUCGGGAUCUUUGAGCAAUCGGUUGAUCUGUUCCGUGUUCAUGCAGGUGGCAUGCUUCUUUCUUUGGGUCGUUGCGCUGGCCAAGACUCUGAUAAAUGAACUGCAAGAAGAGCAUGACGAAUGGUUGCGCAUGCUGCCCCAAACCACAGUGGCUGCAGCACGAGCUCCGGUAGAAGAGAUGGAGGGCGAAGCACGCACUGACAGAGAGCUAGCUGUUGAGCUUAGGAUGUCGAAGAAGAAGGUUAGGAAGCUUGAAGAUCAAGCACUACCAAUACCCAUUUGCAAAUACUUUUGGGCAUUUGUAGGUAUGGUAAUCGCACUGGUUGUAAUGUUGAAAAUGUAUGGAAAGGCAUGAAUUAUGGAGGAAUUUGUAAUCUUGAAAUUGUAUGAGAAAUUCACCUAGUUUAAAUGUUGGUCAAAGUUGUUUAAAUGUUGAAAAAAGAGAAGAAUUGACCAUGUUGAAAAAAAGGAGAAGAAAUGAGGAAUUCAGAAACUUUUGAUCAAUGAAAUGUAGCUAAUGAAUUAUUCCAGAGCCAAACAAUUAAGGUUAGAAAUUAUUUGGAGCUGUUAAAUAUUUAAUAGCAAUUUAAGUAAUCCAAUUCAAAUACACCGUCAUUUAAAUCAAAGAUCAAAAUGUCAUGGAAAAUGUGCCUCAGCUCUGGUAGAUGUUUACACCUAGUGCCAAAAUAAAUGAACAUUUUUAAGGGCAUUACAUCUAGUAGAAACUAAUUUGUCUAAAAAUGAAGGGUGGAAAAUGCACAAAAAUUGGUGCGGCUGGGGACUCGAACCCAAGACCGCGUGGGUUAGUGGUGUUUAGGGCUGCGCUGGUAACCGCUAGGACAGAUGGCAAGAGUUUGACAUGGGUAGGGAAGCAAUGUAUACAUAGUGAGACUGCAAAUUUGUCAAAAAAAAUGAAGGGUGGAAAAUGCACAAAAAAAUUGGUGCGGCUGGGGACUCAAACCCAAGACCGCGUGGGUUAGUGGUGUUUAGGGCUGCGCUGGUAACCGCUAGGACAGAUGGCAAGAGUUUGACAUGGGUAGGGAAGGAAUGUAUACAUAGUGAGACUGUGAAAUUUGUCAAAAAAAGGUGAGACCGUGAAUGUUUGCACACGCGUGAGAGUGGUUUUCCUUUGUUUUGCACUGAAAUUUUGGAGGGUUGGAAGGUUGAAAACGUAUGUUUGCACUGCCACUUGGUUUUGGUUAGAGUGGCACUUGGUUUAGUGUUAGAGUCUCACUUGGUUUAGGAUUUAAACGGAAUAAAUUUGCAUGUUAGUUCAUGACUUAUUUUUUUCGAAUAAAACGGAGGGCUUCUCACCCCCUCUUUUGAAUGACAACCACAAGUUCUCGAGCUUCAUGACUUGGUUUAGGGAAGAAAUUAUAUGCUUGGGCACGGACAUUUUUUAACACACAUAAUAAACCCUAAUAAAUAACUUAGAUAAGAUGCAACAAGUACCAUUACAAUAAUAAGUACACGGACAGUUCACGGACACAUGACGAAACAUGACACGACACGACACGACAUAGAAAAGCAACAAAUAAAAAACAAAAUAGCCUUCAUCUUGAUCUCGUCCUUCCACUUUGGCCACGCGCGCCCCUUCAACAACGUCUUCAUCUUCACACCUCCUCCUCAUCGUCGUAGGGAAGGGAGUGCAUCCCGGCUGGAGUGGGGAAGAUGUUCUCGUAGUUGGUGUAGAUGUUGUAGACGGUGAAGAAGAUGGCCUCGCAGCCGCACCAAAAGACUUGGCCGAGGAGCUCGCACGCGUCAAACGGGUUGGUGAAGGUGACCGUGAGCAGUAGGAGGAUGCCGCCGCAGUCACGAACCUCGUUGACGAUGAACAUCCUCGGCGAGCCCCGUGGGAGGUGGGCAUAGCCGGCUUUGAGGAAGGCGCGGGUGAGUUUGACGAAACCCCUCCACCUUGAAAAAUCCCACACGGAGCUCCCUCUCCACGAGCACGCCCGGUGGGUAGCGCCGCUCCGGCACGACAGGCGGACGGCUGAAGGUCGGCCCGUUGAACUGCAUGGUCUUGCUUGGGGAGGGCUCGGUCGAUUGGGUGUCUCACUUGAGAAUGGAUCAGAUCUGGCUUAUGGGUGGGAGAGGAAGAUAGGCACCCCAUUUAUAGGCCUGUGGGUGGGAGAGGAAGAGAGAAAGGGUGAGAAUUGUGCGUGUGUGAAUCCGAACGCGUGUGUGUAUCCGUUACACUUUGCACUCUUAAAUUUUUGCACAAAAACGAUGCAUGCAUGGGGCGCGUGCGUGCAUUUGAAUCACUGCAUGGCUCUUUGACCGGAUAGUGCAUCUGACUCGUUGAACCACCUAGCUGGCCUCGCUAGCCUAGCGCGCCUAGCACGCCUUGCUCGCCUCGCUCGCAUGCAUGCAUGUCGUAGCCUCCCUCGCUCGCAUCCUAUGCACGUCGCCGCCUCCCAUGCAUGCAUGCAAGGCCUGGAAAGGCUGAGACGGGCUAUUUACUGCGGUCUCAGCGGUCUCAGGCCCAGACAACGAGACGGCCCAACGUUCCAUCCAGCACGCCCGAUAUUUGUUUAAAAAAAUGAAUCUCCCAGCCAAUCAGAUUGCAUCUCGCGGAUCACCCCCUCCUCCACACAGAUUCCUUCUAGAAGGGUUAGAUCGACGGCCCUUGUUCAGUGCUAGGGUUAGAUGAACGGUCCUGGUUCAGCGCUAGGGUUAGUGGGGUUUGGGAGGGGUUUGGAGCAGUUAAAGCUACGUUUGACCAGAUUUCAAGUGAGCAUAAUAAAUUAAAUAAAAAACAGAAAAAUAAAAAACCUGCACACAUAGUCUUCUUAUGUCAUAUACUAACGAUUUAAGUUGAUAAACAAGGUUUACAUACAUUUAAACGGUAAGUUCAUGUGUAUUGUAUGAUAUCUCGAGUAUCUCAAACUCUUUUGUAUAAGUGAGGAGAAGUGUUUUGGGGAAAUAAACAUGAAAAUUUCAAAAAACUCACCACAGCUUCAUUUUAGAGUGACUAAGAAGGAUCCAGGCUUAGUUUUUCAUUUUGAUGUUUUACACUUAUUUAAAUCUUGGUCAAAGUUAAGUUUGACCAGAAUUCAAAUGAGCAAAACAAAUUAAAAAAAAUCAAAAAAUGGAAAAACCAGCGCACAUAGUCCAUAUAUAUAGAAUAUAUAGAAUAUAUGUUUAGGAAAGUUAUUUGGCUGAUUUAGAGAAGGUCGAAAAAAACCUUGCUUAGAGAUGAGGCCGUUAACCCUACCUUUGGACCCUCAUUUUAGCACAUUUUUCAUGAAAAUUCCAAAAACCUCACCACAGCUUCAUUUUGGAUUGACUAAGAAGGAUCCAGGCUUAGUUUUUCAUUUUGAUGUUUUACACUUAUUUAAAUCUUGGUCAAAGUUAAGUUUGACCAGAAUCCAAAUGAGCAAAACAAAAUUCAAAAAAAUCAAAAAAGGAAAAACCAUGUGCUCAUUCAAACAUCAUCCAACAGAUUUAAACAUCAUGUCAAACAUAGUUCUAACAUCAUCCAACAGAAAUACAACAUUAUUCGUAAUGUUUCAUAAUUAUUCACAUAUAGCGUUCGGGCUUCUGUCUGUUCCUUGAGCUUCUUGCCAUCACUUUGCUCCUCAUGCACCUUGUGCUCAUUGCUUCUUCUCUUCUCCUCUUGGUUGUCAGUACCUUGUGCGUCUUCUUCAAACCUAUCAUAGAGCUGUGCAAAACAUAAAGGAUAAUGAGAUCAUGUCAAGUGACCCAUAAAUGUACAGUAGUAUUUGACCCUUGCAAAAUUUACAUACCUAGCAGAACUCACAACAACAUAAGGUUGGUCACCAUUUAGAGCCUCACUUGGAUCAUCAUGAUCAUCAUUUGGAGGCUCACUUGGAUCACCAAGUUCAUCAUUUGGAGCCUCACUUGGAUCACCAUCAUUUGGAGCCUCACUUGGAUCACCAGGAUCAUCAUUUGGAGCCUCACUUGGAUCACCAUGAUCAUCAUUUGGAACCUCACUUGGAUCACCAUGAUCACUAUUUGGAGCCUCACUUGGAUCACCAUGAUCACUAUUUGGAGCCUCACUUGGAUCAUCGUCAAAGUCAUGCGGCUGUUGACCAUCAUCAUUUCGAACCUCGUCAAAAUCCUCAUCUGAUGCAACCGGCUGCUGUCCAUCAUUUUCAUCGAAGCCUUCAUCAAAACUCUAUCCGAACGCUGGAUCUAAUGUGUUAUCACAAUACUUACCGAAAUGACCAGACCCACCACAUCUUGUGCACUUACGCUUCCUCGCUCCAAGUCCAGCUCCUUCGCUGCGAGGUCUGAUUCGACUCUUCCUUGGUCUACCUGCUACUCUCUUCAGAACUGGAGCGCAAAGCUUGAAUCCAGGGUCCACCAUGUCCCAUUGUUGUUUUCCCUCCAUAGCAGGCAAGGCAUAAGCAUAUGUGGCUUUGAACCUUGCAACAGAGUAGUAAUCAUGCACAUACUGCUGAAUGUUCCCUGCUGGACCAGGGAGAGAAGUGGUGAAAAACAAGGCAUGAAUGCAUGGCAACCCAGUUAUCUGCCAUUGCCUACAACUGCAAGUUCUAGCUUCUAAAUCCACUGGAUAUCUCCAUUUCCUCUUCUCUUUAUCCAAAUAUGAUAUCUCUGCUGUGGUACCCGAGCAAAGAGUCAUGUUAAUUUCCAAGCCUGUUGUUUUCUGCUUCAGUUCAUUCAUCACGGCAGGGAUGAUAAUGUGGCCCAUGAAUUUUGCCUCGGCUAUUCCUGCACGAUAAUGAAAUUUCUGCAUGUAUUUUAUCCUUAUCCUGUCCAGCAAAUCCACCACAUAAUGACCCUUUAGUUUCCGAAUCGUUGAGUUGAAAGACUCUGCUAGAUUAUUGUGCACAUAGUCAACUUUGCUCAGUUCACUGAAUUGGCUUCUGUACCAUAACUUGGAGUGGUGUGUUUCCAAGUAUUCUUUCACUUUGGGAUUCAUGUAUAACUGCCUCAAGUGGUAGUUGUGCUUCUUCACACUGCAAGUCAAAGAUGCUGGCCAUAAAUUGUCGGUAUACAUCAUGAAAUUUGUAGCAAGGUGACGCGUGCAUUCCCUAUGCUCUACUCUAGGGAACCAUUGUCCACGGCCACAUCUAAACCUUUGCAGGCAUCUGUAUGAAUGACCAACCCAUUGGGAUGUGCAAUAGCCCAGCGCAGAUUAUGCAAAAACCAAGUCUAGCUCUCCUCAGACUCUGUCUCCAGCACACCAUAGGCAACUAGAAAUACAAAACUGUGUGCAUCAACUGCACAAGUAGCUACUAACUGUCCUUUAAACCUCCUUGUGAGAAAAGUGGCAUCAAUAGCCAAAUAAGGCCUGCAACCUGCCAAAAAACCCCGGCAACAAGCCUCAAAGCAGACAAAAACCCUCCUAAAGCAUUCCUUGGUCUUUGUCACUCCCCUGAAUGUGUACUCCAUGGUGUGGUGAUCAAUAUCUACAAUACUAUCUGGGCUUGUCCUCUCCACUUCACCUUUGAAUGAAUACAACAAUUGAAAACUUUCCUGCCAGUUACCAUAAAUAGAAUCCAUAGCAUGUUGUUUACCAUUGACCAACCUCAUGUAUGGUAAAACUAUCUUGAAUUUAUCUUUGAUAUUCUUCUGCAAUUCCUUUGGACCCACUUGCUGGUUUUCUUUCACCCACUUCUUUACUUCUUCUGCCACCCAUCUUGACUUGGCUCUACUAAUUGUAUCCUUCCUAAGGGUUGAUUCCUGGCAUGUGUGCUUAAAAGGGUUCACUUUGACCUGAACAUUAGUGUUAUUACGCACUUUAGAUGCGAGCAGCCUCCAUGGACAACCCUCAGUCGGACAGUGCACUUUGUAACGUACUUGAUCGCUCUUGUCAACUUUGAAAGUACGUUCUACCUUGAUGCAGUAUGUCACAACUGCAUUUCUACACUCAUUCAUGGAUGCAAAAACUAUACCUUCUUCCAAAUUAGGGUUCAAAGGGUCCCAUUCAACAGCUGCAAGGUCUUCGUCCUCACCCACGGUGUCAUCAUCCACAUGGACUGCAUUGUGAGCCUCAUCUUGGUUAUCAGCCCGAGGUGCCCGUCGUAAAUUCUGAAUAACAUCAGAAUAUAGCUUCUCUUCAUCAACCCCAUAAUUGUAGUCAUCAUGCUCCUCUCCAAGGGGGACCCUACUGCUGUUGCCCACACUUGUCGAGCCACCACGUCGUCGUGCACCAACUGAAUUGUUCUGGCUAGAGAUGCCAUUACGACGACUUGGUUCUCCCAGAGAUGUUGCACCCGUCAUCCUAGGUCCAAAUGCCUGCUCAAGCACAUCAACUUGCAGCCUCACAUGAAAAUUAUCUUUCUCUUUAUGCCUAACAAACAUGGUAGCUAGCUCUUCAUCAUUACUAACUGUCACCCAUUUCUUUUCCCCAUCAUAGUAUUUGCAUACCACAUCAUCAAGCAAACCCCAAGGAUAUUGGCUACAAAUGACCUCCCAAAAUUGUCUGAAACUCCAGUUACUAGCUAUUGGCAACCGAUAAUCAAAACCUCCUUGGUAUUUCUUCUGAUCCUUUGCAUAGAACGUGUACCGGUCCCUUCUAAUGUGCAUCAAGAAAGCAAACCGCAACUCCAUCCUAACCGGCGAAAAACAGAGACGCAAUCAGCACACUAAUUGGGCAAACCUACUCGAAUCGAGUGUUCAAAUGCACAGCUAAGCUCAAUCUAAACAGGAGGCGAGACUUACCCCUCGGGGACCCAGUCGUGGACGCAGUGGAUCUCCGGCCCGAUGCCUGCCUCGCCAAAUACUCCGGGGUCGCCGCUGCUCUCCAUUUCGCCCUAGGGUUCUUCCUCCUUGUUCAGAUAGCUCCAGCAGCCCCCCACCUUUGAGCGCUCCGGCCGGGCGCACAGAAGGAGGCCGUGCUGCGGGUCGAGCAGGUGGCGGGCGCCCCACCCAUGGCGUCGCAGGAAGGUGGCGGGCAUCGCAGGCAGCCGUGGAGCGUAGGCGCAGAAAGGUAGCGGUGGAGUAGGCGUGCAGCUGGUGGCGGGACAGGUCCUGGCCGCGGUGCAAGUGCCGGCGGCCGCGCAGGUUAGCCGGUCGGCGGGGAAGCAGAUGGGCAGAGUGAGCUACGAAUGAUUUGGGGAUUUAGUUGCACGGGCCUACAUGUCAGCUCCGGACCCACGUCCACGCGGUCCCACGUGUAAGCUCCGGACCCACAACUUAACGCUAGCGGACGGAAUGGACUCAAAUAUGGCAGUUUGGCCUCGUCAUAGUAGUUGUGCAUGGACUAGGGGCAAAACUGAGCACAAUUUGCAUCUGAGGGCAAAACUGAGCACAGAGACACCACUAAGGGCAAAAGGAUAAUUAACCCUUAUUUUUAUAAUACAAUGGAAUUGUACAAGUGGAUAAUUAUUUUUUGAUGAAAAGUGUUUGUAAUUAAUAUUCACAAAGUUUCCGUGAGCAUGAACAAAGUUCAAGGCUAGCUCCCACUUCAACAAUGCUUGCCUUUCUCACUUUCACUUUCCUUUUUGAAAAGGUUUUGGAUUCCCCUCUUUAUUUUUUUGUUUUUAAACUAUAAAAAAGCACUCAACAGAAAUAAAUGACUCUCUAAAACUUCUGGGUUGUCUCCCUGGCAUCGCUUUCUUUAAAGCCAUUAAUCUAGGCAUAUAGUGCUCAAGUAAUGGAUCCACCCGGAUCCCAAGGUAUAUCAAAGCCAAGUUCAGUUAACAAUGAUUUGUAAUUUGGUAGUGAGGACAAAGUAAUAUAUAUCAAGUAACAAUGAAGUCUAACUCUUUUCCUAUGCAUCGGCAUGUCAUAAAAGAACAAUUCAUGCACACAUAGUAAAGGCCAAUGCAUAGUAUAAGCAGUUUCUUGCAAUUCUAUCAUAUUGGAAACAUAAAGAGGUGGAGAUAUAGUUCCACUCUCAUAAUAAUUGCAAGUAGGAGCAGCAAGCACAUGCAUAUUAUAUCUAUCAAAAUCAUCAUGUGCAACGGUAAAAGGCAACCCAUCAAUAUAAUCCUUAAUAAGCAUAAGCUUCUCCGAUAUAGUGUAGUUGGGAGAAGUCAAAAAGAUAAUAGGACUAUCAUGCGUGGGUGCAAGAGCAACAAUUUCAUGUUUAACAUAAGGAACUAUAGCAAGUUCAUCUCCAUAACAUAAUUCAUAUUGGCAUCAUGGCCACAAGCAUAGCAAGCAUCAUCAAAAGGGAUAUCUCAAACGAAUUAAAGGGAUCAUAACAAUCAUCAUAGCGAUCAUCCUUUGGUAAGCACGAAGGAGAAUUAAACAAUGUAUGAGUUGAAGAGUUACUCUCAUUAGAAGGUUGGCACGGGUAGCUAAUCCGCUCUUCCUCCUUUUGUUCUUAGCUCUCCUCAUCAUCUUUUUCAUCCAAUGAGCUUACAGCUUCAUGAAUUUCUUCUUCCAUAGCUUCCUGCAAAAUAUUAGUCUCUUCUUGGACAGCGGAGACUUUCUCAAUAAAUGCAUCAAUAUUGGAAUUGUAUUCAUAAUUUUCAUAGCAAUAUCUAAGUAUAGCAAAAUUUUGAGGUCUAUAAACUAAAUCACCAAAAUCUUCAAACUCUUUAAACACAGAUUCAAUCUCAUAAGCACCCAUAAAAGCAACAAAUUCUUCUAUUUGUUCCACAUCAUAGUAAUCAUAUAUACCAUUAGCAUAAGAAGCCAAGGUUUUAUUAUCAUUAAAUUCGCAUGAAAAGGGAAGGUGUGGAGCCUUCAUCCUAGAGCAACAAGUAUAAUCAUGUCUCAAGCAUAGAUUCCGAGCAUGCCAAUACACCAUAGAAAUUUGAUCCCAUAAUAGUUUCCCUUUUUGUGUCAAUCGAUAAUCCCUAAAGUAUUCACGUUGAUCCAACGUGUCUCCCAUAACAUAAUUGAAUGGGGUUUUCUCAGGAUUAUCAAAGUAGUACAUAAUUUGUUUCACAUAACGAGCAUCGAGGGCUUUAGGAGGUUCCCCAUCUCCAUGAGUAGCAAGUACACCUAUUUUUUGGUAUUUUGUGUUCCAUAUCCAUAACUAAAGAUAGAGAACAACUUAGAACAACAAAUAAAAAUUACUUAGUGAUAAAGCAAACAAGCACACACGAGAAUAUUCACCCCACGUUAUGACUCCUCGGCAACGACGCCAGAAAAAGGUCUUGAUAACCCGCAAGUGUAGGGGAUAAUUGUAGCCUCUUUCGAUAAGUAAGAGUGUCGAACCCAACAAGGAGCUAAAGGUAUAACAAAUAUUCUCUCAAGUCCUAUCUGCCACUAAUACGACUCUACGCACACUUAGUGUUCGCUUUACCUAGAACAAGUAUGAAACUAGAAGUACUUUGUAGGUGUUGUUGGAUAGGUUUGCAAGAUAAUAAAGAGCAUGUACAUAUAAACUAGGGGCUGUUUAUAUAAAGAAGCAAUAAAUUAAAUAUAGUGAGUGUGGAAAAGUGGUGGUAGGAGUUGUGAAAUUGUCCCUAAGCAAUUGACUACGUUACUAGACCGGUAAUCAUUAUUGCAAUUUUAUUUGAGGGAGAGGCAUAAUCUAGCAUACUUUCUCUUCUUGGAUCAUAUGAGAUGUCUAAGAUAGUAUAUUUAUAUGUGAAAUCUCUCUUCCUUAAAUAUUCUUUCAUGAAUUGUUCAAAUGACCAAUAAGAUGCUUGCUAACCUUCAAUAAAUUUACAACCUCUACUUCUUAGAUGUGAAGUCAUUACUCCCCAUGGAAUAAGCAAAUGAGACAUAUAUAAUUUCAUAUUUGUGACAUUCAACUCAUUCAACCAUUUACUCAAAGGAUAUAAGUGAAGCACACGAGUAAAUGAAAAACUACUCCAAAAAGAUAUAAGUGAAGAUCAAUGAGUAGCUAAAUAAUUAUGUAGCUAUAUGAAGACUCUCUCCCAUUAAAGAAUUUCAGAUCUUGGUAUUGUAUUCAAACAUCAAUCAAAACAAAAUAAAAUGACAUUGCAAGGAUAGCACAACUCAUGUGAAGAAGCAAAAACUUAGGCUCAACCGAUACUAACCGAUAGUUGUUGAAGAAGAAAGGUGGGAUGCCUACCGGGGCAUCCCCAAAAUUAGAUGCUUGAGACUUCUUGAAAUAUUAUCUUGUGAUGCCUUGGGUAUCCCCAAGCUUGAGCUUUGUGUCUCCUUAAUUCCUCUCAUAUCAUGGUUUCUCUUUUUAUCAAAAGCUUCAUCCACACCAAACUCAACAAGAACUCGUGAGAUAGGUUAGUAUAAACCAAUGCAAAACCUUAUCAUGUUCUACUGUAACAAAUCACUAAAAUUAGUAUUCAACAUUGAAUACUAAAUGCCUAUGCAUAUUUAAUACUCUUAUCCUUAAAUAGAAUCAUUAAAUAAGCAAACAUAUGCAAACAAUGCGAACAUAACAGCAAUCUGCCAAAACAGUACGGUCUGUAAAGAAUGCAAGAGUAUCAAUACUUACCUAACUCCAAAAUUUAUGACAAAAAUACUAAGCUGUAGAAUAUUUAUCAGAUCUCAUCAUGCAAAAAAAUUCAACAUUAUAUCAUUCCGUGACUUUUCUAGGGAAUUUUUGCAACAGCGGUAAACUUUCCGUUUUCAAACAGCAACAUGUAUACUAGCAAAAUAAGCAUGGCAAAGGCUAUCCUUGACUUUUUUAUUGAAACUAAAGAUGCAAAACAUUAUUCUAAAUAACAUCAAGCAAAAAAUAACAAGAUAAAAUGAUGCUCCAAGCAAAACACAUAUCAUGUGGUGAAUAAAAAUAUAGCUCCAACUAAAGUUACCGAUGAACAAAGACGAAAGAGGGGAUGCCAUCCGGGGCAUCCCCAAGCUUAGGCUUUUGGCUAUUCUAGAAUAUUAACUUGGGGUGCCAUGGGCAUCCCCAAGCUUAGUCUCUUGCCACUCCUUAUUUCAUAGUCCAUCGAAUCUUUACCCAAAACUUGAAAACUUCACAACACAAAACUCAACAGAAAACUCGUAAGCUCCGUUAGUAUAAGAAAAUAAAACCAUCACUUAGGUAAUGUAAUGAACUCAUUAUAAAUUAAUAUUGGUGUAAUAUCUACAGUAUUCUAACUUAUCUAUCGUUCAUACCCUCCUAUACUACUCAUAGAUUCAUCAAAAUAAGCAAACAACACAUAGAAAACAGAAUCUGCCAAAAACAGAACAGUCUGUAGUAAUAUCUAUCAAAAGUAUCCUUCUGGAACUCCAAAAAUCCUACCAAAUUAGGAAGCCCUAAGAAACUUGUGUAAAAAUCAGAGCAAAAGGAAUCAGAUCAAGAGCAGGUUGCUGUGAAUUAACAAAACGAAUUUACUGAGUGCGAAAGUUUCCGAUUCUUAGCAGGAUCAACACAACUAUCACCGUAAGCUAUCCUAAAGGUCUUACUUGGCACUUUAUUGAAACAAAUGCUAUAAAAAUGAUUACUAAAGUAGCAUAAUCAUGUGAACACACAAAAACAGUAAGGAUAAAUAUUGGGUUGUCUCCCAACAAGCGCUUUUCUUUAAUGCCUUUCUAGCUAGGCAUAAUGAUGACAAUGAUGCUCACAUAAAAGAUAAGAAUUGAAACAUAACGGGAGCAUCAUGAUGCACAUGACUAGCACAUUUAAGUCUAACCCACUUCCUAUGCAUAGGGAUUUUGUGAGAAAACAACUUAUGGGAACAAUAAUCAACUAGCAUAGGUAGGCAAAACAAACAUAGCUUCAAGAUUUUAAGCACAUAGAGAGGAAACUUGACAUUAUUGCAAUUCCUACAAGCAUAUAUUCCUCCCUCAUAAUAAUGUUCAGUAGCAUCAUGAAUGAAUUCAACAAUAUAACCAACACCUAAAGCAUUCUUUUCAUGAUCUACAAACAUAGAAAAUUUAUUAGUCUCCACAUAAGAAAAAUUCCUCCCAUUUGGAAUAGUGGGAGUAUCAUAAGAGACUUGAACACUAAAAAUUGUUUCCACAUUAAAAGAGUAAUGUUCAGAAAAAGGGUAAUCAUAAUCAUGACAAGUUUUAUAAAUAUAAUCAUCACUACUUUUUAUAGCAUAAGUUUCAUCACAAUAAUCAUCACAGAUAGCAUCUUUGUUCUCAUAAUCAAUUGGAACCUCUUCUGAAAUAGUGGAUUCAUCACUAAAUAAAGUCAUGACCUCUCCAAAUCCACUUUCAUCAAUAUAAUCAUCAUAAAUAGGAGGCAUGCUUUCACCAUAAUAAAUAUUCUCACCAAAACUUGGGGGACAGAAAAUAUCAUAUUCAUCAAACUUGUGGCUUUGCAUAUCAUUAGCAUCAUGGAUAUUCAAGGAAUUCAUACUAACAAUAUUGCAAUCAUGCUCAUCAUUCAAAGAUUUAGUAUCAAACAUUCUAUAGAUUUCUUCUUCUAGCACUUGAGCACAAUUUUCCUUUCCAUCAUACUCACGAAAGCUAUUAAAAAGAUGAAGCGUAUGAGACAAACUUAAUUCCAUUUUUUUGGUAGGUUUCUUUUAUAAACUAAACUAGUGAUAAAACAAGAAGCAAAAAAGAUUCGAUUGCAAGAUCUAGAGAUAUACCUUCAAGCACUCACCUCCCCGGCAACGGCGCCAGAAAAGAGCUUGAUGUCUACUACACAACCUUCUUCUUGUAGACGUUGUUGGGCCUGCAAGUGCACAGGUUUGUAGGACAGUAGCAAAUUUCCCUCAAGUGGAUGACCUAAGGUUUAUCAAUCCGUAGGAGGCGUAGGAUGAAGAUGGUCUCUCUCAAACAACCCUGCAACCAAAUAACAAAGAGUCUCUUGUGUCCCUAACACACCCAAUACAAUGGUAAAUUGUAUAGGUGCACUAGUUCGGCGAAGAGAUGGUGAUACAAGUGCAAUAUGGAUGGUAGAUAUGGGUUUUUGUAAUCUGAAAAUAUAAAAACAGCAACGUAACUAAUGAUAAAAGUGAGCGUAAACGGUAUUGCACUGAUAGGAAACAAGGCCUAGGGUUCAUACUUUCACUAGUGCAAGUUCUCUCAACAAUAAUAACAUUGAUAGAUCAUAUAACAAUCCCUCAAUAUGCAACAAAGAGUCACUCCAAAGCCACUAAUAGAGGAGAACAAAUGAAGAUAUUAUGGUAGGGUACGAAACCACCUCAGAGUUAUUCUUUCGGAUCAAUCUAUUCAAGAGUUCGUACUAGAAUAACACCUUAAGACACAAAUCAACCAAAACCCUAAUGUCACCUAGAUACUCCAUUGUCACCUCAAGUAUCGGUGGGCAUGAUUGUACCAUAUGUAUCACACAAUCUCGAGAUUCAUUUAUUCAACCAACACAAAGUACUUCAAAGAGUGCCCCAAAGUCCCUACCGGAGAGUCAAGACGAAAACAUGUGCCAACCCCUAUGCAUAGGUUCAUGGGCGGAACCUGCAAGUUGAUCACCAAAACAUACAUCAAGUGGCACGUGAUAUCCCAUUGUCACCACAGAUAAACACGGCAAGACAUACAUCAAGUGUUCUCAAAUCCUUAAAGACUCAAUCCGAUAAGACAACUUCAAAGGGAAAACUCAAUUCAUUACAAGAGAGUAGAGUGGGAGAAACAUCAUAAGAUCCAACUAUAAUAGCAAAGCUCGUGAUACAUCAAGAUCGUACCAUAGAGAGAACAUGAGAGAGAGAGAUAGAGAGAUCAAACACAUAGCUACUGGUACAUACCCUCAGCCCCGAGGGUGAAUUACUCCCUCCUCGUCAUGGAUAGCGCCGGGAUGAUGAAGAUGGCCACCGGUGAUGGGUUCCCCCUCCGGCAGGGUACUGGAACGGGCUCCCGAGAGGCUUUUGGUGGCUACAGAGGCUUGCGAUGGCGGAACUCUCGAUCUAUCUUGUUUUUUUUGAUGUUUUUAGGGUAUAUGGGAAUAUAUAGGCGAAAGAAGUCGGUCGGGGGAGCCUCGAGGGGCCCACGAGAGGGUAGGGCGCGCCCAGGGGGGGGGGCGUGCCCCCGUGUCUCGUGGCCUCCUCGAUGAUCUUCUGACGUGAACUCCAAGUCUCUCGGAUCAUAUUCUUCCUAAAAAUCACGCUCCCGAAGGUUUCAUUCCGUUUGGACUCCAUUUGAUAUCCCUUUUCUUCGAAAUACUGAAGCAGGCAAUAAAACAGUAAUAUGGGUUGGGCCUCCGGUUAAUAGGUUAGUCCCAAAAGUAAUAUAAAAGUGUAUAAUAAAGCCCAUAAUCAUUCAAAACAGAUAGUAAAAUAGCAUGAAUGCUUCAUAAAUUAUAGAUAUGUUGGAGACGUAUCAGGUGGCAAAGGUGUGAGGUGUAGGAGUGGGGCUGAACGCAAUAGGAACAACACCGGGAGCUCUGGGAAGGGCACUGAACUCGUGGAAAUUGACCGCCAUCUACACAAGAAACAUGGGUUAGGGGUAACCGAAUAAGACUAUAUGCAACAAACAAAUGCAACUAUCAAAUGCAGCAAACAAGGGCAACAACCAGACCCUAUACUACCAUUUUCUAACUUUCCAGCGGACUAGGACGCUCUACAGCCAGACCUGCUCUGAUACCAAGCCUGCGGCACCCCGGCUUAGAGAAACCGAAAUGCACCCGUAUUCCAGCCCAGAGAUCAAGGUGAAGUCUUCUGGAAUACAACACUUCUUAGCAUAGAACAAACCAGCUUUCUAUUAUAGCACGAAUAUGAAUACAAGGUCUCCAAUAUUACAAUGAAUAACACCGGCACGGCCACACUAUGCCAACCACAGUUGCUCUAUGCAAGAAGCAUAACAACUCAAGGCAGCGGAACCUCUACUGGCAGCGGAAGAACUAUUGGCAGCGGAACAAUGAACGA
rnacentral:lncRNA from 1 species